AUAUGAAGGCAGCAUGGUAAUGUGCACAGAAAUGGAUUUCAGGGUCAACAUGUCUGCUCUCUCUGAUUCCCUGAUUUGAGGGCCUGGUUGCGACCCACAUUU